rnacentral:rRNA from 1 species
GACGAACGCUGGCGGCGUGCUUAACACAUGCGAGUGGAGCGACGAACCAGGGCUUGCCCUGGGGCAGAGCCGCGAACGGGUGAGUAACACGUGGGUAACGUGCCCCGAUGACUGGGACAACCCGGGGAAACCCGGGCUAAUACCGGAUGUGCCCCCUCACAUCAGUGAGGUGUGUAAAGGAAGCUUCGGCCUCCGCAUCGGGAUCGGCCCGCGGCCCAUUAGCUUGUUGGUGAGGUAACGGCUCACCAAGGCUGCGAUGGGUAGCUGGUCUGAGAGGACGAUCAGCCACACUGGGACUGAGACACGGCCCAGACUCCUACGGGAGGCAGCAGUGGGGAAUCUUGCGCAAUGCGCGAAAGCGUGACGCAGCAACGCCGCGUGGGGGAAGACGGCCUUCGGGUUGUAAACCCCUUUCAGUUGGGACGAAGGUCGGGCGGUUAACAGCCGUUCCGGCUGACGGUACCUUCACAAGAAGCCCCGGCUAACUACGUG